AUGAAAACAGCUCAGAAUUGGAGCUAUUAAGCCCUUAUCUUGUAUCUGGGAGGAUGUAGACUUAAAAACGCAGCAGGGAAGAUUGUAUGUUUCCAGGCUCUCGAAUCUGGGGAGAGGCGAGGCAUAAAUUCAUGAGGUGGAUUAUGCUGCCAAAUAAGUUGGUUUGUCUUCUCUGAACGAAUGCCCAGGCUGGAAUUGCAAGGGCAUUAAAAAGCACCAUCAAACUUUGCCCAGAAGGCUUGUAGUCUGUCAUUCAGCACAGAGGAAACAAGAAAGAAAGAUUUUCCUUCAGCCCUUUCUUCUGGAGUGCUCAUUGUCUUUGCCUCCUGGUUAGCCCUUCGCUUUGACUUGCUCUAUGGAUUUUCUUCAUUGGCUCCUCCUUCAUUUCUUACAGCCACCCAUGGCCCAAACCUGACACCCUGUUUGUCCAUCACCCACCCCCCAACUGAUGUUGUUGUUAGAUUGAAUUACACUGAAUGCAUCUACAAGGUGCUUCUAUACAUAUACUAGUGUUUGUGUAUAGCUGCUUGAUUUAUAUAGCUCAACUAUUGUGUAUAUGGGUACAUGGACUGUAUAGUUCUUGAAUACUACAUGUGAUUAACUAUACAGACAUACAGUUCCACUAUUUGUGUACACAGGUACACAGAUUAUACCUCCUGUUGCUGUUCAUCAAGGUUAAGAAUGCAUGGAAUUCAAAAUUGAUAUGAAUGUUGACAUAAAUAAAUGCCUGCUUGUCACA